rnacentral:sRNA from 1 species
CUAGGGUGCCCUUGAGCCGCAAAACUGCUGUCCACGUGGACUGGGGGUGACAUCGCACGUCCAUCUGCCAGGACCCCUGCGUCCAAAUUCCGAGACAUGGCGACCAACGGCAGCAAGGUGGCCGACGGGCAGAUCUCCACCGAGGCGUGGGCCUUGCGGCUGCUGUGCUAUCAUUCUGGCUGAACAUCUACUACAUCGUCAUCAUCUCCUGGGCCAUUUACUACCUGUACAACUCCUUCACCACGACACUGCCGUGGAAACAGUGCGACAACCCCUGGAACACAGACCGCUGCUUCUCCAACUACAGCAUGGUCAACACCACCAACAUGACCAGCGCUGUGGUGGAGUUCUGGGAGCGCAACAUGCAUCAGAUGACAGACGGGCUGGAUAAGCCAGGUCAGAUCCGCUGGCCACUGGCCAUCACGCUGGCCAUCGCCUGGAUCCUUGUGUAUUUCUG